rnacentral:rRNA from 1 species
UCACUCUAGCGAGACUGCCGGUGACAAACCGGAGGAAGGCGGGAACGACGUCAGAUCAUCAUGCCCCUUAUGACCUGGGCUACACACGUGCUACAAUGGCGUAUACAACGAGUUGCCAACCUGCGAAGGUGAGCUAAUCUCUUAAAGUACGUCUCAGUUCGGACUGCAGUCUGCAACUCGACUGCACGAAGUCGGAAUCGCUAGUAAUCGCGGAUCAGCACGCCGCGGUGAAUACGUUCCCGGGUCUUGUACACACCGCCCGUCACACCAUGGAAGUUUGUAAUGCCCAAAGCCGGUGGCCUAACCGUAAGGAGGGAACCGUCUAAGGCAGGACAGAUGACUGGGGUGAAGUCGUAACAAGGUAACCGUAA